GGUACCAGAGCAAUCCAUCCUAAAAGUUGCAACUGUUCAGUACAGUUGAAUUGUCACUCCACAGUGAGAAAAGCUCAGCAGAGGAAAAAUGAUUUUUAAAAACAUCAAUAUUCUUCUGAGAAACAGAAGAAAGCAAGGAAGAGAUAUCCUCACCUGCUGCCAUCACAUGUCCCAGUAUCUGGCCUUUGGAAGCACCCCCCAACCCCUGCCCCAACCAAACAAGACAUGAGGGGGUACAACCCUUCCCUGCCCCUGGGGUUCAUCCUUAGCCAGAGGACUUCACUGUGUUCCAAUCUAACCAGCCUAAAAGAUGAUGAAAUGGAACAGCUAUUGUGGAUACUUCGCCUGAGUACAAUGAAGUCACAAGUGCCAAGACAGGCACAAGUAUCAGAAGAGAUUAUUUUCUAC